rnacentral:rRNA from 1 species
AUGCGAGUCAUUGUGCAAUACAAGGCAGACGGCUCAGUAACGCGUAGUCAACCUAACCUAUGGACGGGAAUAACCUCGGGAAACUGAGAAUAAUGCCCGAUAGAACACUAUACCUGGAAUGGUUUGUGUUCCAAAUGAUUUACGCCGUAGGAUGGGACUGCGGCCUAUCAGUUUGUUGGUGAGGUAAUGGCCCACCAAGACUGUUACAGGUACGGGCUCUGAGAGGAGUAGCCCGGAGAUGGGUACUGAGACACGGACCCAGGCCCUAUGGGGCGCAGCAGGCGAGAAAACUUUGCAAUGUGCGAAAGCACGACAAGGUUAAUCCGAGUGAUUUGUGCUAAACGAAUCUUUUGUUAGUCCUAGAACCACUAACGAAUAAGGGGUGGGCAAGUUCUGGUGUCAGCCGCCGCGGUAAAACCAGCACCUCAAGUGGUCAGGAUGAUUAUUGGGCCUAAAGCAUCCGUAGCCGGCUCUGUAAGUUUUCGGUUAAAUCUGUACGCUUAACGUACAGGCUGCCGGGAAUACUGCAGAGCUAGGGAGUGGGAGAGGUAGACGGUACUCGGUAGGAAGGGGUAAAAUCCUUUGAUCUAUUGAUGACCACCUGUGGCGAAGGCGGUCUACCAGAACACGUCCGACGGUGAGGGAUGAAAGCUGGGGGAGCAAACCGGAUUAGAUACCCGGGUAGUCCCAGCUGUAAACUAUGCAAACUCAGUGAUGCAUUGACUUGUGGUCAAUGCAGUGCUGCAGGGAAGCCGUUAAGUUUGCCGCCUGGGAAGUACGUACGCAAGUAUGAAACUUAAAGGAAUUGGCGGGGGAGCACCACAAGGGGUGAAGCCUGCGGUUCAAUUGGAGUCAACGCCGGAA